rnacentral:rRNA from 1 species
UACGAAGGGGGCUAGCGUUGUUCGGAAUGACUGGGCGUAAAGGGCGCGUAGGCGGAUGGCACAGUCAGAUGUGAAAUUCCCGGGCUUAACCUGGGGGCUGCAUUUGAUACGUGUUGUCUUGAGUUCGGAAGAGGGUCGUGGAAUUCCCAGUGUAGAGGUGAAAUUCGUAGAUAUUGGGAAGAACACCGGUGGCGAAGGCGGCGACCUGGUCCGACACUGACGCUCAGGCACGAAAGCAUGGGGAGCAAAAGGG